CCUACGGGGGGCAGCAGUGGGGAAUCUUCCGCAAUGGACGAAAGUCUGACGGAGCAACGCCGCGUGAACGAUGACGGCCUUCGGGUUGUAAAGUUCUGUUAUAAGGGACGAAUGGUACGACGGUCAAUACCCGUCGUAAGUGACGGUACCGUAAGAGAAAGCCACGGCUAACUACGUGCCAGCAGCCGCGGUAAUACGUAGGUGGCGAGCGUUGUCCGGAAUUAUUGGGCGUAAAGGGCGCGCAGGCGGCGUCGUAAGUCGGUCUUAAAAGUGCGGGGCUUAACCCCGUGAGGGGACCGAAACUGCGAUGCUAGAGUAUCGGAGAGGAAAGCGGAAUUCCUAGUGUAGCGGUGAAAUGCGUAGAUAUUAGGAGGAACACCAGUGGCGAAGGCGGCUUUCUGGACGAUAACUGACGCUGAGGCGCGAAAGCGUGGGGAGCAAACAGGAUUAGAUACCCCAGUAGUC
rnacentral:rRNA from 1 species